rnacentral:rRNA from 1 species
AUUGAACGCUGGCGGCAUGCCUUACACAUGCAAGUCGAACGGUAACAGGUCUUCGGAUGCUGACGAGUGGCGAACGGGUGAGUAAUACAUCGGAACGUGCCCGAUCGUGGGGGAUAACGAAGCGAAAGCUUUGCUAAUACCGCAUAAGAUCUACGGAUGAAAGCAGGGGACCGCAAGGCCUUGCGCGAACGGAGCGGCCGAUGGCAGAUUAGGCAGUUGGUGGGAUAAAAGCUUACCAAGCCGACGAUCUGUAGCUGGUCUGAGAGGACGACCAGCCACACGAGGACUGAGACACGGGCCAGACUCCUACGGGAGGCAGCGGUGGGGAAUUUUGGACAAUGGGCGAAAGCCGGAUCCAGCCAUGCCGCGUGCAGGAUGAAGGCCUUCGGGUUGUAAACUGCUUUUGUACGGAACGAAAAGACUCUUUCUAAUAAAGAGGGUCCAUGACGGUACCGUAAGAAUAAGCACCGGCUAACUACGUGCCAGCAGCCGCUGUAACAC